AUGUGGACAUGUCCCGCAGCGACCAUGGAAGCCCAGGGGACAGGUGGUGCAGGGAGUCUACCACCUUUCUCCCCCAGAGGGCGCCGGGGACCGCAUUGGCGCAGCCCAACUCAAGUGCAGGGCCGAGGACCGGACCGAGAUAGGCUCCCAGGACGGACCAUUGUAUCCGAGACCCGUUCCCGAGAAGGCCGACGGACCAUAGGGACAGAGCGCCGCAGCCCUCAAUCGGGAGAAGGACGCGGGCGAGAGUCGAAGAGAGGACUGGAACGUUUCCCGAGGCUCACGGAGCCCGGACUUUUGAUUUAUUUUUUACAAAAAAAACGGUGUUCGCAACCCCCGGGGGACUAUACCAGUACACCAGCGCAUGAUGGACCGUCUCCUGCGAUCACACCAGGCCUACGCCGCCGCCUACAUUGAAGACAUCAUCUUCAAUAGCGCCAGCUUGGACAUCCACCUGAGACACCUAAGAGCGGUCCUGGGGGAGCUGAGGAGGGCGGGUCUCACCGCCAACCCCACCAAGUGCCGUCUGGGCUUGGAGGAGGCCUCCUACCUGGGCUACAGAGUCGGACGCGAGAACGUCCGACCCCAGGAGGCCAAGGUCAAGACCAUCCUGGACGGGCCCCUCCAAGAAGCAGGUCAAGUACUUCCUCGGUCUGGUAGGCUAACGUCAAACCAUUUUAAAGCAGAAGUAAUUAGAAAAAAAUGAUAUUCUUGACUGCUUAAUAAGAAAGGCCUUAGCAUCCAUUGCCAAUUAAGGCUCAAUCAAUGUGGUGUGAGGAAAAAGUAUGAACAAGUUAGUUUACAGGUUUAAUUAUUCUGGGAUUAAUCACUUACACAGAACCAUAUACGUCUGUAUAUAUCUAUUUAGAUAUUUGCACAAAAAACAUGCAGAUUAACAAAAGUAGAAAGUGAAGUCAAUUGAUUACAUUAAGGGGCCAUAGAAUGAUUUAAAAUGGUCCUCAUUAUAAUAUGCUUCAUCACAUGCAUUCAGACUGACUGAAAUGCUAUAGGGAAGGCAGAUGUGUCACAUUUAUUGCAAUUUAACCAAACUCCCCUAGCGGCAAACACUAGAGAGAAUCUAGAAUGCAGUGCACCUAAAUUAACUUCAUCCCUACCUUUAUGGAAGUCUGGGUAAACCACUACCUUCUCUGGGCUGUAUUUAUCUUGCCUUCACUGAACAAUGAUAAUGGCAUGCGCACAGUUCACUUCAUUAGACACUCAUUACUUUACUAAUUAACAUUAACUCUUAAGCUCUCUAUGUCAAAUGGCAAACAUUCUGGGUAAUUGAUUAUAAAUCAUUGUGAGCCAUCAAAACAAGACAAAAGACAAGUUAAUAGACUCCGAACUAGCAAAUAAAAGCCUUAGAUGAAUGAGUCAUGGCUUGGGUCAAGGGGAAAUUCAUCAUAUAUUUAAAAGGUUGAGGUAUGAUAACCUUGGAUACAGAAUGAUUUCAUCAAAGGUUCUUCCUAACUUGACCAUUAUAAGAGGGGAGGAAACCGUAUCUAUCGAUAUUACUUUGAACAGCCAUGAUCAAUAAAAACUAUAAUCUUUAGUUAUAAAAUAGGUUUCAAUCCGCUAUUUGUUUAUAAAAGGUAUAUCUUACUAAACUUCCUAAGCAAUUGCUUUAUACUCAAACCACGAGGAUUUAAACACAUUUUUCUCUUGCUUAUUUCUCUUCAGAGGUAAUUAAUUGGCAUCUAAAAGGGGAAAUUGUAAAACAGCCAUAUCUAACAUUACCACAAGCCAUAUGGAUUAAUGUCUUUCAUUAUGGCAUGUUUAUUAAUAAUAAGUGCAAUUUAGCUAAAGGGAGUGAAAUACCGGCCGGUAUGUUUUGGCCCAGCACGCCGCAGCCCAGUAGUGAGUAGUGU
ensembl:lncRNA